rnacentral:tRNA from 1 species
GACCGGAUGGCGCAAUGGCAGCGCGUCUGUUUUCGGCACAGAAGGUUGCGCGUUCGAAUCGCGUUUCGGUCG